rnacentral:sRNA from 1 species
UUUAUCCAAAAUUUUAGUUCACAGCCUUCACUGGAUUACCUAUUGGGGCAAACAAAGUGUAACCAUGUAAAACCUGUGAGCUUGUAUUGAUAUCUCAUGGCUAGCGCUCCAAGUGAAUGGGUCUCAUGAGAUCUGAUGGUUUUGAAAGUGGGAGUUACCUUGCACGAGCUCUCUUUUUGCCUGCUGCCAUCCACAUAAGAUGUGAUUUGCUCUUCCUUGCCUUCCACCAUGAUUGUGAGGCCUUCCCAGCCAUGUGGAAAUUUGCGGGAAUUUAGCCAAUUCAGAGGUCUUGUUCUCCAUAAUCUGGAACUUUCCUUCAGAUUUGAUCAAGUUGGAUAAAGUUGGUCAAACCCAAUGGGAAAAAGAUGAAAACAACAAGAAACAGAAACAAACAACAACAACAACAACAAAACAAUGCAUUUAAUUAAAUGAAGAUGAGCUCAUGCUGGAGUAGGGUGGACUCUGAACCCAGUAGGACAAGCGUCCUUGUUAAGAAGAGGGAAAUCUGAACACACACAGAGCAGAGACUGCGGUGUGAAGAUGGAGGCAGAGAUUAGAGAGAUGCUGCUACAUGCCACAAAUGCCUGGGGCUCCCAGAAACUACACGGAGCCUCCCCCAGCGGCUUCAGCAGGAGCAUGGCUCAGCCAACACUUUGAUCUUGGCCUUCCAGCCUCCAGAACGUUUUCCUAAAAUUCCCUUUUCCACUUGUGUGUGGUGCAAGAUGAGGCACAUUUUCCAUGGAUGGUGAACAGAGGGAGGAGCCUCUUGAUCACAACCAGGUCACCCCACUUCUAAGCCACUGUGCCUCCAGCCCCACAAGACUAAGGAGAGAGAGCGCAGAGUGGUGGAGAGUGAGCUGUGCUGGGACCGUUGUUUCUGUAACCUCAUUUUCUGUGUCCAGCUGACACACCUUCAAAGCGGCGUCAGGUCCUAAACUGUAGCUUGCGACGUGCCUGUUUCCAGAAACAAAGGUGAAAGUGCUUUUAGACAGUGUUCCCAUGCAAGAGUCCCUUCCCAGCUGUUCUCUGGAAAUGCAUGUUUCUCUGAACUCUGAGUCCCAAGAAAAAUCAUUUGAGACAUCAAGAAAAUGGGGGAAGUGCUAAAAUUGUGUGGGAAUUCAAGCUUAACAAUAAACAUCAAGACAUUUUUGGUAAAAAUGAAUCCACUGACAUCAGGGAGGAGCAAGAGAACAGCACUCUGACACUGGGUCAGAGGCUAAGACCGACAUUUCUGGGAACCACUCCCAGAAGGGCACAGAUGAGACGCUUUCAGCCUCUCAUCAGCCAGCCUGGCCUGUUGCUGCUGCACAUUAUGAGUGUGUUCCUGGCAUGACUGCUUCUAACAGCAACAUUUCAUUAAGUUUUUAAGUGCCUGGCAAUUGCUUGGUUACAACCGGCGUCUGCUCCAUGGCAGCCUCUUCCUGAAGAAAUGCUGAUGCAGUGUCAUGCUGGUGUGUGUCCUCCUUACAGAAUGCCUGAACAGUUCCAUUGACUCAAAGUGAAGAUCAAAAGAACCAAAUGACAGCAAUAGCUAAGUGUAAUCAUCAGUAACCCUGUGUUCUAUCCACGGGUAAAGAACAAUCAUCCUCUUCAUUAUGGGUUUCAAUUUAAAAUGUAAUACAUUUUUAGAAAUGCCUAUUUCCUUUUAUAAUCUCUUUAUAUAAUCUAGGUUAUUCUGGCUCUUAGGUCUUCAUUUAGCUACUGAAAAGAUUUUAUCUCAAAUGAAUGAUCUAACCACCCAUGACCACCUCCCACCUCUCUCCCCGUACACCCCCCAGCCUGAAUUCUGGGAACUCAGGUAAAAUGCUUUCUGGAAACCUGCCUGUAUUAGUCUGUUGUCAAGCUACUAGUAAAUGAAUACCUGAAACUGGGUAAUUUAUAAAGG